GGACAGUCAUCGCCGAGUCCCCGUACGGCGCGAGCCAGGGGAGCCGGGGACCCACGCAGUCCCUGGGGUGAAUCGGACGCCCGCGCGUCAGCGAGGGGGUCGUAGGAGACCUUCCUGCUCCGAACCCGUCAGCUAACCCGGUAGGCGAGAGGGAAGGAAAGG
rnacentral:sRNA from 2 species